rnacentral:rRNA from 1 species
CCUACGGGAGACAGCAGUGGGGGAUAUUGCACAAUGGGGGAAACCCUGAUGCAGCGACGCCGCGUGUGGGAAGACGGUCCUCUGGAUUGUAAACCACUGUCCCCAGGGACGAAGAUGACGGUACCUGGGGAGGAAGCUCCGGCAAACUACGUGCCAGCAGCCGCGGUAAUACGUAGGGAGCGAGCGUUGUCCGGAAUUACUGGGUGUAAAGGGAGCGUAGGCGGGUCUGCAGGUUGGGUGUCAAAUCUAGCGGCUCAACCGGUAGCCGCACUCAAAACUGCAGUUCUUGAGUGAAGUAGAGGCAGGCGGAAUUCCUAGUGUAGCGGUGAAAUGCGUAGAUAUUAGGAGGAACACCAGUGGCGAAGGCGGCCUGCUGGGCUUUUACUGACGCUGAGGCUCGAAAGUGUGGGGAGCAAACAGGAUUAGAUACCCUUGUAGUC